rnacentral:lncRNA from 12 species
UCCGGGGGUCCGGGGGUCCGGGGGUCCGGGGAUCCGGGGUCUACGGCCAGCGCGGCCGCGUCACUGCGCAGCUCCGCCCCCUCCGCCGGCCGUGGGCCUCCAGGCCCCGCCCCCGGGGCCGAGCUCGGAGCCGCGGGGGCGCGGGGCGCGGGCGCCGGGUCCCCGCCGGCCGUGGCGGUGGCGGUGGCGGUGGCGGUGGCGGUGGCCGCAGGGGCGCGGGGCUGAGCCGUCGGCGGAAGUCCCCGGCGCCGCUGGGGGGCGGGACGGACGGCGCGGCCCGGGCCGGCGGGGGCUCGGCCGGCGGGGGCUCACCCGGCUGGCGCGAAGGCGGGGUCGCUCUGCCACGGCCGGCGGCCGCAGGCGGCGCCCAGACUGAAGUGAGCGCCCGAGCUUCACACUUUUAUCGGGGUGGGGGGCCGGGAAGUGUAGUCAAAGACUUACCUAUAAGUAACGGGGGCACAAUCCAAAGCUGGAAGUGGACCUGUUUUGACUGUAAAUCAAAUACAGAUAUAUCAGUAAUGUUAAGACUUUCACAAGGACAGCCCAAUUCCUUCUGAGGGUUUUCCAAGGAGAAUUUACCACCGAGAACAUGUGAACAGUUUCCUUUUCAAUUAGGCUUUUGAGGACGAAGUACUGAAUUCUAAAUUCACACAAGGAAAAAUGACCAACAGGACAGCAACCAAGGUUGGAAUCAUAAAGAGCAAACUCUUUGCUGGGAAUUUGGAAGGGUAAGCAAGCCUUGGCCCCAAUGUGUGUCAAAGGGUUGUGACUCCAACCUUUGUUGUCGGCUAAUCUGAAAACCAGCAUCUGGAAAAGCUAAAACAUCUCCCCCACCCCCCAGUGCCCCAGGUGAAUAGAAGAUGAACAGUGAAAACAAGGUUCAGAGGCCCCUGGCUCAUCAGAGUAAGUGGGUGGGUCCCAGUCUGUGGACAAAAACCUGUUCUUAAAAUUUCCCUGCUUCUGGAUUUGGCCAGGAAGUCUGAAUCACAGAAAAUGCAUGCUAAUAAGAUUUUUUUUUCUUAUGCAGUUUCACAUAUUUAAAUAUGCAUAUUUACAUUUCUCCACAUUUACACUGAAUAAGAAAAGCACAGCAUCGAAGGCACCGACUCCCAGUCUGAGACCUUCAUCUACGACCUCAGGGAGCUUGAUUCUCCACGUGGCCAGGACUCCUGCUGAAACUUCCAGCAGCCCUCAGAAAAGCCAACUUGGUACCCUUGGGCUGAAUGAAUGAGAACUUUCUGGAGAGCGGAAGACUGGUGGAGGUCCAGCUGGAAAAACAUAUGGCAGCAGAGGCGGAAAGAGCGCUUCAUGACCGAGAGCUUUAUAAAAAAUGUCUGGAGGCUCAAGGCAGCCGUUACAACCUAAGAUCUUGCUAAGCAUGAUGGAUGUUCUUACUUCUAGGACUGCCUCCAAUUUACCUGGAGCACAGCCAGCGCUGCAUCCUCAGGCGCCCCUUGGGACCGUGCCCGCAGAAGAACAGCAUCGCACCACAUCCUACCUCCAGGGCCCAGCCCCCCACCCCUGCUCCGCAGCCCCCACCCCAAUGCAGCACUCAAGAUGGCAGCUCACUGGGUUGUCCUGAAAGAAAACAAAGUUUGCAAAUCACUGCAAUCAGGAGGGAAAAUGACUAUGGUAAAUUCUCUUCUUAACCCCGUGUGAACUCAGAGCAUUUUCUGGCUGCGCAGUGAGCAAAACCAGGCAGCCUGAGUUUCAGGCUAGGACACCAUGCCAAGAUGGCCUCUCCAGAUACAUGCACAGCCUUGAAGUUUUAUGUCAGCCCCUCCCUGCCCAGCAUUUCCAAAAUAAUGGAAAGGCAGAUUUGAUUUUUCCAUGUGAAUUCUCCAUAAUAAUCUUCUCUUAAUGCUAAUAACCAUUGGUGUUUGUUACCAAGCUUUAGGAACAUUCUACACAGAAUGCUAUGUCCCUUAGAAAAGACAUAAAUUAGGAGUUGGUUAUUCAGAAUUAGAAAACACUUUCUAAACUCACUAACUUACCCCAGCAUUGUGAAAAAAAUACAGUAAGUUCCCCUAGAAUACUUAAGUAGUAUUAGGUUUUUUAAAAAUGUGACCCACUAAUACUUUUUAAAGUAACGCACAGAAUGUAUUGGAAAGGUAGGCAUGUAUACCUCUUUUUAUCAGUAAUGUAGUUACAGCUGACAAUAUGACUUUUCUUCAACAGAUAAUACUGUCUCCCUUUCCAUUUCCCUGAUGGUUUUUUCCACCACCAUUUUCCUUAAGUGUGGCAAAAGUAGAAGCAGCAAUUACUGGAGUCACGAAACUCAAGGCCUGACUUUAUUACCCAAUCAUUAUGUCAGUUAUUCUUCCAGUUUUCAUUCUGUGUAUGCACAUUUCUGUGUACACACAUUUCCAAGGCAUAUUUUUCCAUUACUGGAAAGAGAAAGGCCAAUGGAUCAGUCACAUACACUCUGUACUGAUAAAGCAAUGUCAUUAACUUUUGAUAAAAGAAGAAGCAAACUAUAGCCCUUUAUGCUCAGUCUGUAGUUUCUCUCUUAGGAACUCAAAGCAAAAACCAAGAUGACCAGUGUGUGUGUACAUAAAUAUUACUCUAUUGUUAUUUAGUUAUCAUAUACUUCUAAAAUGUUUUGAAUAAUGCCAGGUUCAGAGUGAACUUUCCAUCCAUCUGACCAAGGGGGUUGGGGAAUGUGGACCUAAGACUACUUGGGCCUAAUAGAGAAAUGGCUUUGAAAGCCCAGAAUUUUCUAGAUGUUCAGAGAGAGAGAACAAAAUCACUUCUUCUCAAGUAAAGCCCUUUGCAGGGCCCCAGAAAUGCAGAGAUAGACAUGAGCUGGGGGCUAGCUAAAUGUUCUUUUUGACAGAGGCCCAGCUUCCCGUUGGCUGCCUGGCUCUGUUUCACACCAUACAAGGAGCUCCAAAUCCCUGUCUGCAGACACGCUGAGAUUUAAGUCCUGGGAGGGUAAGUCAUGCUCUGGGGUGGGUGCCGCUGCUGCCUGUGCUGCUACAUUACUGUGUAAACACAGGCCAACCCCUUCUCUCUGCUUCACUUCCUGGGUAAGUUGAUAAACAGUUGACCCUUGAACAAUGCAGGGGUGAGGGGCACUGACCCACCUCGUAGUCUAAAAUCCACAUACAACUUUUGACUCCCCCAAAACUUAACUACUAAUAGCCUGUUGUUGACCAGGAGUCUCACUAAUAACAUGCACAGUUGGUUAACAUGAAUUUUGUGUUUUGUGUGUCGUGUGUAUUAUAUACUAUAUUCUUACAAUAAACUACAAAAAGGAGCACCUGGGUGGCUCA